rnacentral:lncRNA from 1 species
CAGGGUCCCACAAGAAUAAAGCCGUGACUUUUUGUGCAAGGCGGUCACCAGCAAAACAGAAAACUCUGUGUACUUAAGGCUCCUGGACCAGUGGCCCAACUCUCCAGUAUUUACGAUCACCGCUGACCCUGUAGGGAUUUGGUGCCACAGCUACCUGCCCUUCCACCCGCCCUUCAGCCUCUGCC